rnacentral:rRNA from 1 species
AACGCUAGCUACAGGCUUAACACAUGCAAGUCGAGGGGCAGCAUGGUCUUAGCUUGCUAAGGCCGAUGGCGACCGGCGCACGGGUGAGUAACACGUAUCCAACCUGCCGUCUACUCUUGGACAGCCUUCUGAAAGGAAGAUUAAUACAAGAUGGCAUCAUGAGUCCGCAUGUUCACAUGAUUAAAGGUAUUCCGGUAGACGAUGGGGAUGCGUUCCAUUAGAUAGUAGGCGGGGUAACGGCCCACCUAGUCUUCGAUGGAUAGGGGUUCUGAGAGGAAGGUCCCCCACAUUGGAACUGAGACACGGUCCAAACUCCUACGGGAGGCAGCAGUGAGGAAUAUUGGUCAAUGGGCGAGAGCCUGAACCAGCCAAGUAGCGUGAAGGAUGACUGCCCUAUGGGUUGUAAACUUCUUUUAUAAAGGAAUAAAGUCGGGUAUGGAUACCCGUUUGCAUGUACUUUAUGAAUAAGGAUCGGCUAACUCCGUGCCAGCAGCCGCGGUAAUACGGAGGAUCCGAGCGUUAUCCGGAUUUAUUGGGUUUAAAGGGAGCGUAGAUGGAUGUUUAAGUCAGUUGUGAAAGUUUGCGGCUCAACCGUAAAAUUGCAGUUGAUACUGGGUAUCUUGAGUGCAGUUGAGGCAGGCGGAAUUCGUGGUGUAGCGGUGAAAUGCUUAGAUAUCACGAAGAACUCCGAUUGCGAAGGCAGCCUGCUGAGGCUGCAACUGACAUUGAGGCUCGAAAGUGUGGGUAUCAAACAGGAUUAGAUACCCUGGUAGUCCACACGGUAAACGAUGAAUACUCGCUGUUUGCGAUAUACUGCAAGCGGCCAAGCGAAAGCGUUAAGUAUUCCACCUGGGGAGUACGCCGGCAACGGUGAAACUCAAAGGAAUUGACGGGGGCCCGCACAAGCGGAGGAACAUGUGGUUUAAUUCGAUGAUACGCGAGGAACCUUACCCGGGCUUAAAUUGCAGAUGAAUUACGGUGAAAGCCGUAAGCCGCAAGGCAUCUGUGAAGGUGCUGCAUGGUUGUCGUCAGCUCGUGCCGUGAGGUGUCGGCUUAAGUGCCAUAACGAGCGCAACCCUUGUUGUCAGUUACUAACAGGUUCCGCUGAGGACUCUGACAAGACUGCCAUCGUAAGAUGUGAGGAAGGUGGGGAUGACGUCAAAUCAGCACGGCCCUUACGUCCGGGGCUACACACGUGUUACAAUGGGGGGUACAGAGGGCCGCUACCACGCGAGUGGAUGCCAAUCCCCAAAACCUCUCUCAGUUCGGACUGGAGUCUGCAACCCGACUCCACGAAGCUGGAUUCGCUAGUAAUCGCGCAUCAGCCACGGCGCGGUGAAUACGUUCCCGGGCCUUGUACACACCGCCCGUCAAGCCAUGGGAGCCGGGGGUACCUGAAGUGCGUAACCGCGAGGAGCGCCCUAGGGUAAAACUGGUGACUGGG